AUUGAACGCUGGCGGCAGGCUUAACACAUGCAAGUCGAGCGGAGAUGAGGUGCUUGCACCUUAUCUUAGCGGCGGACGGGUGAGUAAUGCUUAGGAAUCUGCCUAUUAGUGGGGGACAACAUUCCGAAAGGAAUGCUAAUACCGCAUACGUCCUACGGGAGAAAGCAGGGGAUCUUCGGACCUUGCGCUAAUAGAUGAGCCUAAGUCGGAUUAGCUAGUUGGUGGGGUAAAGGCCUACCAAGGCGACGAUCUGUAGCGGGUCUGAGAGGAUGAUCCGCCACACUGGGACUGAGACACGGCCCAGACUCCUACGGGAGGCAGCAGUGGGGAAUAUUGGACAAGGGGGGAAACCCUGAUCCAGCCAUGCCGCGUGUGUGAAGAGGGCCUUAUGGUUGUAAAGCACUUUAAGCGAGGAGGAGGCUACUGAGACUAAUACUCUUGGAUAGUGGACGUUACUCGCAGAAUAAGCACCGGCUAACUCUGUGCCAGCCGCCGCGGUAA
rnacentral:rRNA from 1 species